UUUACUGCUGGUGAUGCUGGGACUCUUUGCUCGGGAAUCAAUGGCAGACAUAGUUCUGACUCAGGAUCCAACAGUUCGAUGUGUUCAGCUGGGAGACACUGUCUCUAUCAGCUGUACAGUCAGUCAGAGCGUUUACACCAACUCCAAUAGCCAGUAUCUUUACUGGUACCUGCAGAAACCUGGUCAGGCUCCUAAACCUCUGAUUUAUCUUGCCACAAGUCGCCAGACUGGGAUUCCUGAUCGUUUCAGUGGGAGUGGAUCUGGCACUCAGUUUACACUGAAAAUCACUGGAGUCCAGGCUGAAGAUGCAGGAGAUUAUUACUGUCAGAGUGACCACUACAUCAACAGUAAAACUAUACUCACACAGUGAUACAGAGCCAUACAAAAACCUCCCUCAGUCAGACUGCA